UUUGUUCUUUAUUACUCUGGUCUUUAUGUUGUCCUCCAGCACAAUCUAGAACCCACAGAUGUUUGUGUCAGGGUGUUGGAGUCAACAUCGUGAAGCCAAGGCUGAUUUUGAAGAUUGACAUUUUCCAUCCAAAUCCACUUUGUACACGUUUGGAAGUUAAGUACAGUACAUUAAUUAUUCUUUUUAAUUAAUAGUUUUAAAUUUAGGAUGUCUGUGAGUAUUCCUUUGUAAUAACUCUAUGGUGUAUCUAAACAGUGUCACGCUAAAGAACGAAGCCGGACAAAAAUGUUUAAAUUUAGAGUCAAAGUUCAUCAAAAAGAUCUUGCAGAGAACUGCAAACAACACCAGGAGUGCUCAAUAAAAUGCAUAAAGAAGAGGAAAGCUGCAUUUUCAAAUGUCAAUAAUGUGCCCAGUUUGUACCUUGCUUUUAAAGGGAUUGUUCCCUCUUUAACUUUACUUUAAUCACCUCUAUAUGUUUUAAACCUUUGUUAAAAUACUUUGAGCUUUGUUUUUCUAUUGAAACAAACAAACAAACAAAAAUGUAUUUAAAAGAAUGUUGAAAAUAGUAGUCAUUAAUUUCUACUUUUUUUAAUGUGAAAGUCAGACUACUGGUUUCCAACAUUUUUUAAAAUAUCUUCACUGUGUUCAACCGAUAAAACUUAAAACUCAUAAAGGUUUAGAACCACUUGAGAGGGAGUAAAUGAUGAACAAAAUGUUAUGGGGUGAACUUUUAAAAGUUCCUUUGCGUUUUUAAAUUAUAUGACAAUGUAAUGUCUAACCGCUUAUUUAACAAAUGAUGUUAAUAUUAGUCAGUGGAAUGUGAAAUAAAAUCUAAAUGUCUAUGAA